GACUGGUCUAAAGGUAGUGAGUGAAGUCAAUUGUUCACAGUCAGUUACAGAUCAAACUCCUUGUUUGACUCUUUCUCCCCUUCUCACGACUGCACUUGACUAGUGUAAA
rnacentral:Y_RNA from 1 species